UACGUAGGGGGCAAGCGUUGUCCGGAUUUAUUGGGCGUAAAGAGCGUGUAGGCGGUUUGGUAGGUCCGUUGUGAAAUCCUUGAGCUUAACUCAAGAACUGCCCCAGAAACGGUGAGACUGGAGUACUGGAGAGGGUCGUGGAAUUCCCGGUGUAGCGGUGAAAUGCGUAGAGAUCGGGAGGAACACCAGCGGCGAAGGCGGCGACCUGGACAGUUACUGACACUCAACUACGAAAGCGUGGGGAGCAAACAGG
rnacentral:rRNA from 1 species